UGACCGGAUGCCCUUAAAAGUAGGGUAUGAGCUUUCGAGCUGCAACCAUUAGCACCAAAAUUACCUUUUCAAUCUUCGAUUAUCUAGUUUCCACAUCGAGGAGAGCUUUGGAUGUAUAGAGUACAAGUAGUUAGGCCUUCAGCUCUUCUCGUAUAUGGGCAGAGCUUACUGAUGUGAUAAAAACUAACACACAAAUUAAACCUUAUUAAGAUAGUUGUAGUACGCGUAAGUAGGGAUCGUUCUAGGCCGGGGAUUAGUUAGGGAUGCUAAUCAACACAAAUUAAACCUAAAAACUGAAAAUUAGACUCUAGAAGAGAAAACUAAACUCAAACUACUCAAAAUAGACUAAACUGACUCAAAACACACAAACUAAGUUAAAUUGACUUAAAACAAGAAUUAGAGGCUAAUUUGGAUGAAAAUUGAACUAAAAAGACUCAAAACAAUGUAA
rnacentral:lncRNA from 1 species